UUUUGAAGCGAGUUAUGCGCCUUUAAAGUUGGAGGUGAGAGAGGGAGAGACGUCAGAGAAAACGACUGUCUGCUUCUCUGCCGCCUCUCGCUCUCUCGCCUCCAACUUUGAAGGCGCCUAACUUGCUUCGAAA
rnacentral:sRNA from 13 species